GCUUCAGGCAUGCAAGUCGAACGAGUGGCCACCUUCGGGUGGUCUACUAGUGGCGGACGGGUGAGUAACGCGUUAGCAACCUGCCCAAAAGUGGGGAAUAACUAACCGAAAGGUUAGCUAAUACCGCAUGUGAUAGCUGGUCCUUGGACUGGUUAUGAAAGGCUUCGGUCGCUUUUGGAGGGGCUUGCGUCAGAUUAGCUAGUUGGUGGGGUAAUGGCCUACCAAGGCGACGAUCUGUAGCUGGUCUGAGAGGACGAUCAGCCACACGGGGACUGAGAUACGGCCCCGACUCCUACGGGAGGCAGCAGCUAGGAAUCUUGGGAAUGGGCGAAAGCCUGACCCAGCAACGCCGCGUGGGCGAUGAAGGCCUUCGGGUCGUAAAGCCCUUUUGCAGGGGACGAUGAUGACGGUACCCUGCGAAUAAGCCACGGCUAACUACGUGCCAGCCGCGGUAAUACGUAGGUGGCAAGCGUUGUCCGGAUUUACUGGGCGUAAAGGGCGUGCAGGCGGUUUGUUAAGUGCAGGGUGAAAGCUCCCGGCUCAACUGGGAGAGGUCCUUGCAUACUGGCGAACUCGAGGGAGGCAGAGGAAAGUGGAAUUCCCGGUGUAGUGGUGAUAUGCGUAGAUAUCGGGAGGAACACCUGUGGCGAAGGCGGCUUUCUGGGCCUUACCUGACGCUGAGACGCGAAAGCGUGGGGAGCGAACCGGAUUAGAUACCCGGGUAGUCCACGCCGUAAACUAUGGACACUAGGUGUGGGGGGUAUCGACCCCCUCCGUGCCGAAGCUAACGCAAUAAGUGUCCCGCCUGGGGAGUACGGCCGCAAGGCUAAAACU
rnacentral:rRNA from 1 species